AAACGUUCCGUGCACAUCGUGAGCUAUUUCAGCCGAAUUGUUCUGAAAAUGUUUUCUCGUAUGGUAUACAAAUUAUAUUAAAAUGAUAAAAGUUAAAGCUAAAAGGUAACAAUUGUGGUUUUCGCAGCAUAUUGUCCAAUUUCCUGCAUAUAUAAGGAAAAUUUUUAUUUUGUAUACCGAUAUAAAUGAAUCCUGCAUGUAAAAAAUUUUAUAAGGAAAAUAUAAAAGCUACAAAGUGUCAUAAAAACCGUAAAACUUUAUAGUUCACUUUUUUUUGGUGAAAGAAAGGAAUAAUAUAUAUAUAUAAAAAUGUAUUCUUCUCCAAUACAUUAUUCCACAAUGCGUCCGCAGCCUCUUGGCGGCGCAGGAAUUUUACAUGAUUCAAAUAUUGAAGAAAUGCGUAACGCGGAAUGGUACUGGGGAAAAAUUACAAGGGAGGAGGUUAAAAACAUUCUUUCCGGACAACCUGAUGGAAGUUUUUUAGUGCGUGAUGCUCUCUCGAAAGAAGGCGAAUACACGCUGACACUUAUAAAAGAUGGCACUGAAAAAUUAAUAAAAAUAUGCCAUUCGAAUGGGAAAUACGGUUUCGUCGAUUGUAUAUUUAAUUCUGUAGUGGAAUUAAUUAAUUAUUAUAAAGUGAAUUCGUUAAAGUUGUAUAAUAAAAUGCUUGAUAUAACGUUAAGCAAUCCUAUAGUGCGCCCAUUAGAAGACGAAGAAACUCAACGAUAUGGAGAUUUACGUUUCCUUGCAGAUCAGUUUUUAUCCCAUCAUCAUUUACUUAACAAACAUCAACAAAAUCUCGACCAAAAGUUAAAAGUAUUUAAGUCAAUUGAAAAUGAACUAAACGAAAUGAAAGUACAUCAGGAAGUGUAUCAACGCGGAGCAAAAAUGUUUCAAAAUCAGUUAACAUUAAUUCAAACGUACAUAACCACCGCACCACAAGGAGGUAUCUGUGCGAACAGUGCGGGGAAUGCUGCCCGCCAACAAGAAAACGACCAACUCCAAAUAAAUUCAGCUGCACUUGAAGCGCGAAUGUUAAAUCUGUGCACUGCGAUGGAUAAACUAAACCGCUACGUUGAAGAGAAAAAAGAAGAAUAUAAAACAUUAGAGCGACAAAUUAAUUCUGCUAAGCCUGAGUUACAAGAAUUGACUGUGCGAAAAGAAAAAUUUACAGAACGUUUGUUGGAAGUUGGCAUUAAAGAAGAAGAUAUUAAACAACUCAUUGAAAUGGGUUUCGAAGCUUGGCAACAGCGUUACGAAAGUGUCUCUAAUCAACCACACAAUGACGAGUCAAUGUGGUUCCUUAAAGAUUGUCUACGUCAUCAGGCAGAAGAAUUGUUAAAGGGCUCUCCAACAGGAACAUUUCUUAUACGUGCUCGUUCUGCUGGACAUUAUGCACUUUCGAUAGUUUGUAAGGGUGUCAUUAGUCAUUGCAUUAUUAACGAAGCUGAAAGUGGUUACGGUUUUGCGGCGCCAUAUAAUAUUUAUCACACCUUAAACAAAUUAGUGGAUCAUUAUGCGACAAAUUCUCUGGAAGAGCACAAUGAUACAUUAACUACAACUUUGCGUAUUCCUGUUAUGUAUUGGCAUCAAAACAAAGAAUUCCUUAUGCAGGAAAUGCAAGAAGAAUUAGAAUUGGAGCGACAAUUGUUAGAGCAACAACUGUUAGAACAACAAAUGUUAGAACAACAGCAGUUGGAUCCGCAACAAUUAGACCAACAACGACAAUACCAGCAUCUGCAAUUGCCGCAGCAGCCAAGUGGUGCAUCAAAUGCCUCAGUGCCUAAUAACGCCUCUGAAAUUGGAACUAAUUCCCAAUCUUCAAGUAAUACUAGUGCUGGUGCUAGCAAUGAGUUGAGUAAUGACUUAGGAAUAUGGAUCUCUAAACAUAAUAUUUCAAGAAGCGACCGGUUGUGGCAGGGGACGAGAAUGCUGUGCUUCACCUUACUCAGAAAUCAUCAUUUAAAAUUAUCAAUAUAUUCAAGUUUAAUCACUUAUCAGCUAUUUGCAUGGUCCUUUUAUUCAAGUGUUUCAACAACGUUCAUCAGUGGUACCACAGCGGCUGGAGUCAAUAUUUGGAUCAAGCGGGCUUUGGUGUAUGAGUCGAUCAUUCCAGCCUAACCAAAACCACCGCAUUGUUAUCAUUCUGCUCCUAAAAUAUAUGUGAGUUUUAAAUGGAUGAAUUAAUUAUUUACCAUUAUUUAUCGAAACUAAUUCAUUAAAACUAUGGUUUCAUUCCGCCAUCCAGACAGACGGAUUUCGAUAAAUUGAUUAGCGUGUCAUGCUGGCUGUAGAGUGACUACAUAUCGUCUUCAGAGUCGACAUUUCUGAUACAAUAUCUAUUCAGAAUAAUGUGAGGGAUAUGAUAAGCUAUAUUUGGUGUUGCCAAAGUCUCAAUAUGCUUGGCCCACAUAGGUUUAAUGGUAAACAAAUCAGUUAUGUACAUUCUUAUUAUAUUUUCUUAAACUAUAUAGAAAACUGCAUUUUUACAUGUAUCGUAUAUUUUAAUAGUUAGUUAUUAUUUAAAAUUAUUUUUUAAAGUUGUAUUGUAUGUGGACGCUAUUGAAUGUAAAGACGCUAUUAAAAAUGUGCUUUAUU